GGGGGGGGGGUUGAUUAUAUGUCAUUAAAAAGCAUUCUUAAUAACAUCUUGAUGUAAAUAAAAACAUUGGCAUAUAUCAUUGUUGAUGUGUGCAAAUCAGCUUGUUUGAAUUGUUUUACAAUUAGUCAUUUCUGGACCUUUUUACAGCACACUAUAUAUGCAUGGGUUAUAUUCAAUCUUGUAGGCUGUAUUGUGACCUUCAG
rnacentral:lncRNA from 1 species